GGGGCUAUGGCAAAGUGGUACUGCGCUCGCUUCGGGUGCGAGAGAUCAUGGGUUCGAUCCCCGUUAGCCCCC